rnacentral:rRNA from 1 species
UACAGAGGUCCCGAGCGUUGUUCGGAUUCAUUGGGCGUAAAGGGUGCGUAGGCGGCGGGGCAAGUCUGAUGUGAAAUCCCGGGGCUCAACCCCGGAACUGCAUUGGAUACUGCCUUGCUAGAGUACUGGAGAGGGAACUGGAAUUUACGGUGUAGCGGUGAAAUGCGCAGAUAUCAGGAAGAACACCCGUGGCGAAGGCGGUUCUCUGGGACGGUACUGACGCUGAGACGCGAAAGCGUGGGGAGCAAACAGG